GGAGGAAGCCCUGGGGGUAUAGCCUGAAGGCAGAGCUGAGACUGCUUUAAAGACUGGACAUGCAUAACCAUGGAGGGUGCUCAUGAGAGUGAUCAGAUGACCUCCAUUUGCAGUCACAGAUUAAAGCAGCUGUUCCAGAAUCUUGACAAAUCCAAUAUUUGGGACAGAUCCCUGGAUGAUAGUGAAUAAGGCAUGAAGCUUUUGGAGACUAAAUGCUGUAAUUACCAAGAAAUGUAUGUUAAACAUGAGCAAGAAGGAAAUACCUUGAAUGCAAGGGAUGAAGACUAACCACAUGUUCACAGCUGGAGUCUGUAAAAAUCCUCUUCAGUAUGAGCUGCAUCCAACUCCCACUGAAGUUAAUGGAAUAUGUAACACUGAUUUAGAUGGGAGUUGCAUCAAGCCCAAAGAGACUUUUUUUUUUGAAGUGCUCUCCAUUGCACCAGAUUUUUCAAAAGAUCUCCUAGUUAGGCACCUACCUAAAGACUAGAUUUUUUUUCCAAAGAGCUCAACAACAACUUGAGUGUGCAUAAUGAGUUAUUUUGACAGGGGACACCAGGAAUAGGUUGAAUGGAAAUUCACUGUUCUUACAAAAUGCUGAUAAACUUGUGGUUAGGCCUUGUGUGUGGGGCCCAAGAUACGGGAAGGUUUUUUGUUAUCCUCUCCCACUCUGCACAUUGAUGCAAGGGCUCUUCGCCACCUGGAUGCUUAACCCCCUGUGCCUCAGUUUACCUCAUAUGGCUGUUGGGAGGCUGAAUUGAAAUUGUGAAGUUUUGGAGGCUCCUUUGAUAUAAAGCAUUCUCUACAUAGUAGGAUCUCUCUCUCUGUUCUGGGUUCCUAGAUAGUUAUGCUUUAGGACUCCUCACACUGGAGGGAGGGGGGGCAGAUGGUGUCAGUUAUCCAUAUGCUGGAAAUGAAUAAAAGCAACUCUGCAUGAGCUAUCUCUCUCAGAGCAGCAGCUGACAGGAGGCUGGCCUGAGGGUAUCCGGAUGAUGAUUCAGGAACAGCAGGUUUACUUGCCUCUCCUGUGGUGUAAUUAGGUACUGGAAGGAAAAGCGAAGGCCAAUUGUUAUGCUCUGGAGCUGAGCUAAGGCACCAUCAGCUUAUGUUGCUGACUCACUACUCUCCAAGGUCCAAAGAAUACUGCCUUCCAAACUUCAGAAUAGGACCAGAGAGACUGCUCCAAAAUCAGAGCUCUGUAAGCAGGUGCACUUCCCAAGGCACACCUGCUGAGUCUCUCAUCUGGAGAGAUCAUCUGAUGUCUCACUGUCAGUCGCUGCAACUCCUCCUCUCCAUACUGUGGGCUGCUGACCAGGAAGCCAAGAUUGCCCCCUCACUCUCCCUUUCUCAUUGCUCCCUCUGCGGGAUUCCUUGCUCCACACUGUGUGCAGCAGGUGGUGAUGAAGAGACAGCCAACCAGUGCUGCUUCCUCCCUCUUGGCCAUGAGCUGCAGGAGCUAUAGAUGUGGUGAUAUGCAUGCACAGGCAGUGGAAAUAAAAUCUGGUGGGACAGUGUUGUGGGAGAGAGAGACAAUCUGGGAUGGACAAACUGGACAGAAAGAAAUGCAGAUGGACUGAACCAGUAGGUACAACUGAGAAGCAGGUAGAGAGCCCUUUAAUUCUGUGCCCUAGUUCUGGUCAGCUGAGGACACUAAUGAAGUAUUGAAAACACAUUCAACUCCCUCCUUGAGUCAGGCCACCAGGCUGCUCAGGUAUCUGAAACUUGGCUGACAGCAAAACAGCAGGAUAUUCAAUCCACUGGAAGGUGAGGAGGUGAAGCAGAACAGCUGUUCCCUGUAAGUGCAUGGCAGCUGUGAUUUCCUCUUGAACUGGCUUAGCAGGAAACCAUUUAAAGUGGGAUGUAGCCUGCAGGCUGCUGGUCUACUUCCUUGGGGAGGAAAGAUCUGCAACCAGAUAAGGGGUUGUGCUGGGCACUUUGUACUUUCAGUGUAGCUCUGUUGCCUCCAAGGACCAGAUUUUCAGUUGGUGGCAUCCAUUCAUUGAAGUUUCUAGAGAAACAUCACCUUACCCCAGCUGAGGACUUUUUUCCUUCCCCCAUGAAGAAUUCUUCACUUUUCUUGAGAUUUACACACACAAUUCAGCAUGGAAUCUCACUGCAUUAAGCAUACUGGCUUCUGCUAUCUCUGCUGUUCCUAUUGAAGGAUUAUCUAGUGACGAACUGUAUCAUAGCAAAGAGGUGCUUUUCUAUCACUCAAAGGCCCCCUGAAAUCUGAGCUGCUAACCCCUCCCCCCCCAAAUAGUAGGGGAAUUUCUAAACCAUCACAAAUACCCAAAGUAAGGUAGGAGAAGAUGGAACAGUGAGGUCAGCAUAGUGCUGAAACAGUUUUCUACCAGAGUGUUUCCUAUAGCGUUUUACUCAAGUUAUGCCUAUU